UCCAGACUCCUACGGGAGGCAGCAGUGGGGGAUAUUGCACAAUGGGGGGAACCCUGAUGCAGCGACGCCGCGUGGGUGAAGGAGCGUUUCGGCGCGUAAAGCCCUAUCGGCAGGGAAGAAGGAGGACGGUACCUGACUAAGAAGCCCCGGCUAACUACGUGCCAGCAGCCGCGGUAAUACGUAGGGGGCAAGCGUUAUCCGGAUUUACUGGGUGUAAAGGGGGCGCAGACGGCAGCGCAAGCCAGGAGUGAAAGCCCGGGGCCCAACCCCGGGACUGCUCUUGGAACUGCGCGGCUGGAGUGCAGGAGGGGCAGGCGGAAUUCCUGGUGUAGCGGUGAAAUGCGUAGAUAUCAGGAGGAACACCGGUGGCGAAGGCGGCCUGCUGGACUGCGACUGACGUUGAGGCCCGAAAGCGUGGGGAGCAAACAGGAUUAGAUACCCCAGUAUC
rnacentral:rRNA from 1 species